rnacentral:rRNA from 1 species
CCUACGGGAGGCAGCAGUGAGGAAUAUUGGUCAAUGGGCGCGAGCCUGAACCAGCCAAGUAGCGUGAAGGAUGACUGCCCUAGGGGUUGUAAACUUCUUUUAUAAAGGAAUAAAGUGAGGCACGUGUGCCUUUUUGUAUGUACUUUAUGAAUAAGGAUCGGCCAACUCCGUGCCAGCAGCCGCGGUAAUACGGAGGAUCCGAGCGUUAUCCGGAUUUAUUGGGUUUAAAGGGAGCGUAGGUGGGUUAUUAAGUCAGUUGUGAAAGUUGGAGGCUCAACCGUAAAAGUGCAAGUGAUACUGGUAGUCUAGAGUACAGUUGAGGUAGGCGGAAUUCGUGGUGUAGCGGUGAAAUGCUUAGAUAUCACGAAGAACUCCGAUUGCGAAGGCAGCUUACUAAACUGCCACUGACAUUGAUGCUCGAAAGUGUGGGGAUCAAACAGGAUUAGAUACCCUUGUAGUC